rnacentral:rRNA from 1 species
AGAGUUUGAUCAUGGCUCAGGAUGAACGCUAGCUACAGGCUUAACACAUGCAAGUCGAGGGGAAACGACAUCGAAAGCUUGCUUUUGAUGGGCGUCGACCGGCGCACGGGUGAGUAACGCGUAUCCAACCUGCCCAUCACUUGGGGAUAACCUUGCGAAAGUAAGACUAAUACCCAAUGACGUCUCUAGAAGACAUCUGAAAGAGAUUAAAGAUUUAUCGGUGAUGGAUGGGGAUGCGUCUGAUUAGCUUGGUUGGCGGGGUAACGGCCCACCAAGGCGACGAUCAGUAGGGGUUCUGGAGAGGAAGGUCCCCCACAUUGGAACUGGAGACACGGUCCAAACUCCGUACGGGAGGCA